rnacentral:rRNA from 1 species
AUGACUCACCAUGAUAUACAACAAGAGGUGAUAAAAUGUUGUGCACAAGAGACUACAAAACUAGUCAUUGAAGAACUUGAUGGUGGUCAUUUUGCAAUACCUGCAGAUGAGUCUAGUGAUGUGUAUCAGAAUGAACAGUUGGCUGUUUGCUUGCGUUAUGUUGAUAAGAAAGGAAGGGCGGUUGUAAGAUUUCUUGGUCUUGCUCAUGUUGAAGAUACUACCUCUUUGACACUAAAAGCUGCAAUUCAGAAAAUGCUUAUGGAAUACAAUUUGACCUUUGCAAUGGUUCGUGGGCGAGGAUAUGAUGGAGCUAGUAAUAUGAGAGGUAAUGUUAAUGGCUUGAAGAAACUGAUUAUGGAUGAGUCCCCUUCUGCCUACUAUGUUCAUUGUUUUGCCCAUCAACUACAGUUAACUCUUGUUGCCGUUGCUAAGGAGAGUGGUGAUUGUACUUGGUUCUUUCAACAACUUGCACACUUGUUAAAUGCUCUUGGCAUGUCUUGUAAAAAUAUGAGAAUGCUUCGGAUAGCUCAGGCUGAAGAACUCAUUGAUGCAUUGGAAUUGGAAGAAGUAGAAACAGGGAGUGGGCUGAAUCAGGAAAUGGGUUUGGGAAGGCCAUGUGAUACACGUUGGGGCUCUCACUUCAAAACUGUGAACCAUGUCAUCUCUAUGUAUGGUGCACUACGACGAGUCCUUCGCAAGAUUGGAGACGAGUACCAUGGUGCGGAGGCACAAGCGGCUCUAUCCAUAGAGACAAUAUUUCGAUCAUUUGAGUUUGUUUUCAUGGCACACUUGAUGCAAGAAAUAUUUGGAUACACAGAUGAGUUGUGUAGAGCUUUGCAAAAGCAACACGAAGAUAUUGUUCAUGCUAUUGAGCUUGUUGCUGACACAAAGUAUUACUUGGAGGCUUUGAGGACCGAUGCUGGAUGGUAUGAUUUUCUCACAAAGGUCACAUCUUUUUGUACGAAGCAUAAGAUCAAAGUUGUUGAUACGGAGGGUCCUUACUUUCCCGUUGGCCGGCCUAGAAGGGGUUUAUGUAAUGGUCCGACCAAUUACCACCGCUUCAAGGUUGAUAUGUUUGUGGGUGUCAUUGAUAGGCAAAUCAGUGAGCUGAAUGGCAGAUUUGAUGAGGUAAACACGGAGCUACUUUCUUGCAUGGCAGCAUUUUGUCCACUUCAUCUAUUUGCUGCUUAUGACCAAGAGAAAUUAGUUAGGCUUGCUACAAAGUUUUAUGCUUCUGAUUUUACAAGGGAUGAACUGGAAAGACUUCCAUGGCAACUAAACAUGUAUGUUACUAAUGUGCGUAGAGAUGAAAGGUUUCAAAACCUGAAAAAUCUGUGUCAGCUUUCAGUUAUGCUUGUUGAGACAAGCAAGCAUGAACAAUAUCAUAUUGUUUACAAGCUUCUUAAGUUGGUAUUGAUUCUGCCAGUAGCUACUGCUAGUGUUGAAAGGGUAUUCUCUUCAAUGAGCUAUGUGAAGAAUAAGCUAAGGAACAAAAUGAGUGAUGAUUAUUUGAACAAUUGUUUGGUUACAUUCGUUGAGAGAGAAUUUUUCAAUCAAGUGAAGGAUGAAGAUGUCGUCAAUCUGUUCCAAAAAGGAGACCGCAAAGUUAUAUUGUAA